CGUAGGGGGCGAGCGUUGUCCGGAUUUAUUGGGCGUAAAGCGCGUGUAGGCGGCCGGCUAGGUCUGGUGUGAAAACUCGAGGCUCAACCUCGAGAUGUCGCCGGAAACCAGUCGGCUAGAGUCCGGAAGAGGAGAGUGGAAUUCCUGGUGUAGCGGUGAAAUGCGCAGAUAUCAGGAAGAACACCUAUGGCGAAAGCAGCUCUCUGGGACGGUACUGACGCUGAGACGCGAAAGCGUGGGGAGCGAACAGGAUUAGAUACCCUGGUAGUCCACGCCGUAAACGAUGGGCGCUAGGUGUGGCGGUGUCGACUCCGUCCGUGCCGAAGCUAACGCAUUAAGCGCCCCGCCUGGGGAGUACGGCCGCAAGGCUA
rnacentral:rRNA from 1 species